GAUGAAGAACGCAGCGAAAUGCGAUAAGUAAUGCGAAUUGCAGAAUCCGUGAGUCAUCGAAUCUUUGAACGCACAUUGCGCCCCUUGGUAUCCCGAGGGGCAUGCCUGUUCGAGCGUCAUUUCACCACUCAAGCCUGGCUUGGUGUUGGGCGACGUCCUCUUUGGGGACGCGCCUCGAAACGCUCGGCGGCGUGGCACCGGCUUUAAGCGUAGCAGAAUCUUUCGCUUUGGAAGUCGGGGCCCCGUCUGCCGGAAGACCUGCUCGCAAGGUUGACCUCGGAUCAGGCAGGGAUACCCGCUGAACUUAAGCAUAUCAAUAAGCGGAGGA
rnacentral:misc_RNA from 1 species